rnacentral:lncRNA from 12 species
CCCCCCCCCCCCCCCCCCCCCCCCUUUUCAAUUUUCCUUUCAUUUUUUCUAUUUAUUAAUUAGUAAAUAAUUUUAUUAUUUUUAUUUUUAUUCCAAAUUUUUCCUUUCCCACUUUUCCGUCCCUUCCCAUUUUUCCUUUUCCACUUUUUCCCAUUUUUUAUCAUUUUCCUCUUUUUCACCCCAAUUUUCCCUUCACAUUUUUUCCUUUCCAUUUCCCCUUUUUUCCCUAUUUUUUUUCACUUUUCCCAUUUUUCCCUUUUUUUCAGCCUCUCUCCUGAUCCUUUUCCCCCUGGCAGCGCCUUCAGACCUCCCUCCCCCCGCCCCCGACAUCUCGGUGACGCCGGCCAAGCCGCGGUUCCUCAUCGGCGACGCCGUGUCCAUCCUCUGCGCCGUGCCAGGCCCGGCAAGCCAGGACCGGAUCCAAGGGUUUCGCUUCUCCAGGACGUCUGGUUCGGUCACCGACGUCCGGACGUCCAAGAGGAGCUUCAUCCGCACCUUCAACGUCACCGGCCCGCAAGACGGCGGCCUCCCCCCCCCCCCCCCCCCCCCCCCCCCCCCCCCCCCCCCCCCCCCCCCCCCCCCCCCCCCCCCCCCCCCCCCCCCC